rnacentral:lncRNA from 1 species
GAGAAAGUUAAGUUUUAUUGUGUUCAAGGAGGUUGAGAGUAUAUAUUUGAUGUCCCAAGAUUGAGGAAGUGGUCCAGCAGGAAGACUGCAUUGAGUUACCAACUUGGGUGAAAAAGAUCAAGGUGAAGAUUUUAUUCCACAAAGUAUAAGGGGCCAGUAGGUCUUUACAGAAUAGAUAGGCUCAGGCCCAAGUAUGGUGGAUUAAGACUGACCUGAGAGAACACGAUAUCAGCACAUCCAUUGAUGGGAAGGAAGGACGUUGACCCAAUAGGCCAUUGGCUUUGUGGAACAACAGUCUUGAAAACCCUUGGAGAAGAUAGGUGCAGCCAACUCUGGAGGACUGCCUGAAAGGGAGCAGAGCCUGUAGAGGAGGCAUGGAGCCUCUGGAUGAAGGGCCGGUGCAACAUUCAGAGUUCAGUAUUGAUCGUGUUUGUGAUUUAAACACUCAGAGACCAAGGAAUUGACCACUUUGAUGUGGAUUGAUGGUUUCCUGAUGCUUUAUGACAGUGGCUCUGUGAGGUGGAUGCAAUGAGUCUCAUUUGAUGGAUAAGAAAAGUGAUGCUCUGAGAGACAAAUAUGAUUCCUAAAACCACACAGGAGGCUAGUGGCAGAACCACACAGGAGGCUAGCGGCAGAACCACACAGGAGGCUAGCGGCAGAACCACACAGGAGGCCAGCGGCAGAGUCAGGAUGUAAACCUGGAUCUGGCAGAUUCCAGAGUUCCUAAGCCCUUGACUGUAGGCUUAGCAUCAUAUAGGUGUGUAUGUAAAGAGCUGCAAGCUGGUAAACCCCCACAAAAUAAAAAAGAACCAACUAACUCCAUUAUCAGUUAUUUAUAAAUUCAGAAACUAGUUGAAAAGAAAGAGAAAAAAAAUGACAAAUUUUUUAGGAUGCCUACUCUUUCAUAUGCCCUUGAAUGUGUGAUCAAACUCACUAGAGCAAGCCCUCCU